AUGACGCUGGCGGUAGGCUUAACACAUGCAAGUCGAGCGGAAACGAUGUAGCUUGCUACAGGCGUCGAGCGGCGGACGGGUGAGUAACGCGUAGGAAUCUGCCUAGUAGAGGGGGACAACCUGUGGAAACGCAGGCUAAUACCGCAUAAGCCCUGAGGGGGAAAGGAGGGGAUCUUCGGACCUUUCGCUAUUAGAUGAGCCUGCGUGAGAUUAGCUAGUUGGUGAGGUAAAGGCUCACCAAGGCGACGAUCUCUAGCUGGUCUGAGAGGAUGAUCAGCCACACUGGGACUGAGACACGGCCCAGACUCCUACGGGAGGCAGCAGUGGGGAAUAUUGGACAAUGGGCGCAAGCCUGAUCCAGCCAUACCGCGUGUGUGAAGAAGGCCCUAGGGUUGUAAAGCACUUUCAGAGGGGAGGAAAGGUUGAUGGUUAAUACCCAUUAGCUGUGACGUUACCUUCAGAAGAAGCACCGGCUAACUCUGUGCCAGCAGCCGCGGUAAUACAGAGGGUGCGAGCGUUAAUCGGAAUUACUGGGCGUAAAGCGCGCGUAGGUGGUUUGUUAAGUCGGAUGUGAAAGCCCAGGGCUCAACCUUGGAAUUGCACCCGAUACUGGCAGGCUAGAGUACGAUAGAGGAGUGUGGAAUUUCCUGUGUAGCGGUGAAAUGCGUAGAUAUAGGAAGGAACAUCAGUGGCGAAGGCGACACUCUGGAUUGAUACUGACACUGAGGUGCGAUAGCGGGGAGCAA
rnacentral:rRNA from 1 species